GCCUGGUGGCUGAGUAUCUUCAAAGAAUCAGCUCCAGCCAACUUUUGUGUUGUGUACAUGAUAGCUGUUCUAUCAGAGAGGGAGGAAUGGAAUUUUUAUAUAAAACACAGAAUCUACAAUAUUGUUUUAAUGUGCUCUGUGCCCAGUUUAAAUUGUACACUGCUAAAAAUUCAACAUUUCAGCAACCGAUUGUGAGAAACCUUGAACUGAUGAAGGAACAGAGGCCAUUUUUCCUUCAAACAACUUUUUCAGGACAUUUCAAGUCACUCUAGUUCUUUCUGCAACGAUCUCUACGUCACAAG